rnacentral:rRNA from 1 species
AGGGAAUCUUCCGCAAUGGGCGAAAGCCUGACGGAGCAACGCCGCGUGAGUGAAGAAGGUCUUCGGAUCGUAAAACUCUGUUAUUAGGGAAGAACAAAUGUGUAAGUAACUAUGCACGUCUUGACGGUACCUAAUCAGAAAGCCACGGCUAACUACGUGCCAGCAGCCGCGGUAAUACGUAGGUGGCAAGCGUUAUCCGGAAUUAUUGGGCGUAAAGCGCGCGUAGGCGGUUUUUUAAGUCUGAUGUGAAAGCCCACGGCUCAACCGUGGAGGGUCAUUGGAAACUGGAAAACUUGAGUGCAGAAGAGGGAAGUGGAAUUCCAUGUGUAGCGGUGAAAUGCGCAGAGAUAUGGAGGAACACCAGUGGCGAAGGCGACUUUCUGGUCUGUAACUGACGCUGAUGUGCGAAAGCGUGGGGAUCAAACAGGAUUAGAUACCCUGGUAGUCCACGCCGUAAACGACGAGUGCUAAGUGUUAGGGGGUUUCCGCCCCUUAGUGCUGCAGCUAACGCAUUAAGCACUCCGCCUGGGGAGUACGACCGCAAGGUUG